CCCAGACUCCUACGGGAGGCAGCAGUGAGGAAUAUUGGUCAAUGGUCGGGAGACUGAACCAGCCAAGCCGCGUGAGGGAUGAAGGUACAGAGUAUCGUAAACCUCUUUUGUCAGGGAACAAAGGCGGGGACGUGUCCCCGGAUGAGUGUACCUGAAGAAAAAGCAUCGGCUAACUCCGUGCCAGCAGCCGCGGUAAUACGGAGGAUGCGAGCGUUAUCCGGAUUUAUUGGGUUUAAAGGGUGCGCAGGCGGUCUGUUAGGUCAGCGGUAAAAGCCCGGGGCUCACCCCCGGCGAGCCGUUGAAACUGGCUGUCUUGAGAUGUCGAGAGGUAUGCGGAAUGCGCAGUGUAGCGGUGAAAUGCUUAGAUAUCGCGCAGAACUCCGAUUGCGAAGGCAGCAUGCCGGCUCCACACUGACGCUGAGGCACGAAAGCGUGGGUAUCGAACAGGAUUAGAUACCCUCGUA
rnacentral:rRNA from 1 species